GAGUUGGCUAGAUAUGGUGGAGUUGGCUAGAUACGGUUGAGUUGGCUAGAUACGGUUGAGUUGGCUAGAUACGGUUGAGUUGGCUAGAUAUGGUGGAGUUGGCUAGAUACGGUUGAGUUGGCUAGAUACGGUUGAGUUGGCUAGAUACGGUUGGAGUUGGCUAGAUACGGUUGAGUUGGCUAGAUACGGUUGAGUUGGCUAGAUACGGUUGAGUUGGCUAGAUAUGGUGGAUUGGCUAGAUACGUUGAGUUGGCUAGAUACGGUUGAGUUGGCUAGAUACGGUUGAGUUGGCUAGAUACGGUUGAGUUGGCUAGAUAUGGUUGAGU
ensembl:lncRNA